rnacentral:lncRNA from 1 species
AUGGGAAGAAUAUAUGAUAUGUAUGGAAUGGGAAACUGGCAUGUAAAAAAGUAGCCUUCACCCAGAUAACUUUCUUCUCUCUUUUCUUUUUUUUUUUUUCUUUUCCUUUUAAUUUUUCUAGGGGAUUUUCUUUUAGAUUCUUGGUUACCUCUUUAUGUGGGCAUACAAUACAAGACAAGCACGGGUCUGUCAUGGAACACCACUAACAUAAGAAACCUUCACCGAGAUCAUUAAAGAUCAGAAGAAUCGUGUGAAAAUGUUGGUUUUCUUAAUUUCUCUCUCAAUCUCUUCCACUCAGACUACUUUCAAACUAACCUAAUGGAACUUAACUUAUUUAUCUAGAAAAACGAGACCCAUUAAUAACGCAAACGCGUC